CUCUCUCUCUCUCUCAACAUUUUCAACUCUGUUUCCAACUCAUUUCACACAGACGCAAGUUCAAUCUGCAUGCUGGGUUUUCCUGUGAGCUCAAAGCAGCUAGCGAUGCACUGUUGACAGCAAAGCUCAUAUAUCUCUACCAAGUAAUUUUCUUCAACUAACUAGAAAGCAUGCAGCUUUAUCUGUUCAAUUUCUUCUUCUUGUUGCUGUUGCUGUGUUUCUCUGUGUCCAUAUCUACUGUAUCUAGUUUGAGCUCUGAUGGGUUGGCUUUGUUGUCACUCUCCAAGCAUUGGACCUCUGUCCCUGCUUCCAUAUCCUCAAGCUGGAGUGCUUCUGAUGCCACUCCAUGCCAAUGGGUUGGAAUAGAAUGUGACAAUGCCCACAAUGUGGUUGCCUUGAACCUCACUGGUUAUGGAAUUUCUGGUCAAUUGGGACCUGAAGUUGGCAGCUUUAGGCACUUGCACACUCUUGAUUUGAGUGUCAACAAUUUUUCUGGCAAAAUCCCAAAAGAAUUGGCCAAUUGUAGUCUUCUUGAAAACUUGGACUUGUAUAAAAAUGGCUUUUCUGGUGCAAUACCUGAAUCCUUGUUUGCAAUUCCUGCCUUAGCUUAUGUACAUCUGUAUACUAACAGUUUGAACGGUUCCAUCCCCGGAAAUGUUGGGAAUCUGAGUGAGCUUGUGCAUCUGUAUUUACAUGAGAAUCAGUUUUUAGGAGUGAUUCCUUCAUCCAUUGGAAACUGUAGUAAAUUGCAGGAGUUGUUUUUGGGUCAGAACCAGUUGACAGGAGAGCUUCCUAAGAGCCUGAACAACCUUGAGAACCUGGUAUAUCUAGAUGUAGCUAUAAAUAGUCUUGAGGGUAGCAUUCCUUUGGGUUCAGGUACUUGCAAGAAUUUAAUUUACUUGGAUUUGUCAUACAAUAAGUUUAGUGGUGUUCUUCCAUUAGGGCUUGGAAAUUGUAGUACGUUAACAUGAUUUUCUUUUGUGGGUAGCAAUUUAGAAGGGAGUAUUCCAUCUUCCUUUGGUCAACUGAAGUUGAAUGGUUCCAUCCCUGGAAAUGUUGGAAAUUUGAGUGAGCUUGUGCAGCUGUCUAUAAUUAAGAAUUAG